ACCAUAUUUAGUUUAUCUCAAAUCCGUUUAACUAUUUUUUCUUUCAAAUCUUCAUUGAUUUAAUCACAAAUAACUAAUCAAUAAAAAAAAAAAUAUCUAGAUGCGGAUGAUCAUACUUUUAAAUUGACAAACAUAGAUAUCGAUUUAGUUUGGACAGAAUCAUGAUAUGAUUAGCUAUAUCUUGACCGUUCACCUUCAAUAUCUUAAAUCUUCAUAUCUCAAAUCCUUAACAAUUUGACCAUAUUUGGUUUGCUAAAAUACGAUUAGCUCUUUUUCUUCUUCUUUUUUAAAAAAAUUUAAAUCCUUAUUGAUCUAAUUACAAAUGUCGAACCAAAUAAGAAAACAUGUCAAGAUGCGGAUAAUCAUACCUUAAAAUCGAGAAACAUAGAUAUGGAUUGAUUUUGAACAGAUUCAUGAUUUCAUCAAGUAGAUCCAGACCGUUGACCACCUUCAAUAUCUUAUUUUUCGAACACGCAAAAUCUCAAGUCAUGAACAAUUUGACCAUAUAGUUUACGCAAAUCCAAUUAACUUAUUAUUAUUAUUAUUAAAAUUCUGAUGGAUCUAAUCACAAAAAGAAUAACAAUAUAAGAAAACAUAUCUAGAUGCGGAUAAUCAUACCUUAAAAUCGAGAGACAUAAAAUAUGGAUUAAGCUUGAACGGAUUCAUGACUUCAUCAGCAAGAUCCAUGCUGUUGACCGCCUUUUUACCAUAUAGUUUACCCAAAUCCAAUUAACUUUUUUUUUAUUAUUAAAAUUCUUAUGGAUCUAAUCACAAAAAGACUAACAAUAUAAAAAAAACAUAUCUAGAUGCGGAUAAUCAUACCUUAAAAUUGAGAGACAUGGAUAUGGAUUGAGCUUGAACGGAUUCAUGACUUCAUUAGCAAGAUCCAGACUAUUGACGUUCAAUAUCUUAUUUUUUGAAGGAUGUCAGAUCUCAAAUCUUAAAAUAUUUUUUUAGGAGAUACGGCGAAUUACAGUUCAUGAACCUUAUAUAUACAA
rnacentral:lncRNA from 1 species